CUCCGGUGGCACCUCCUUCCGGUACCCCUGCCCUCGCGCAACAUGGCGGCAGCACAGCCUCUUCCGCCCUUCCCCCACCCCUUCCUGUCCUCUUGCCUCUCCUCCGGUGGCACCUCCUUCCGGUACCCCUGCCCUCGCGCAACAUGGCGGCAGCACAGCCUCUUCCGCCCUUCCGAGCUAGGAGUGCAGAAAAAGGUGAAACUGCCAUGAAAAGGAGAGGAGGAGUGUGUGAGUGAGUGAGUGAGAGUGAGACAGGGAGCAUCCUAGUAGAGAUGGAAGGGGAACCCAAGGGUCAUCUAGUCCAACCCUCUGCAAAGAAGCUCAGAGCUACAAUUCCCAGGUCUUCUUUGGGAAUUCUAUGGGAAGUAAGAGUUUCCAUAUUCAUGAGCAUUCACUUAGAGUGCGCUCAUGUUUUUACCUUUUAUUGAAAGCGGUCACAAGUGACUUGGGUGGAGUAUAAAUAAUAAAAUUAUAUUGCUCCUGCUGCUGUUCUCUUAGCCUAACUCAAAUCCAACCCAAUACCAAACCUUAAUCCUAAUGCUCACCCUAACUCAAACCUAAUCCUCACUCUAACCCUAACCUUAACCCAAACCUAAGCCUCAGUCUAAACCUAAACCUAAUUUAACCCUAACCCUAAGUAAUAAAAUUAUAUUUCUUCUGCUGCUGUUCUUCUCUUACCGUAACUCAACCCCAGCUCUAACUCCUAAUCCUAAUCCAACUCAAACCCAACUCUCACUGUAACCCUAACCUUUACCCAAACCUAAUCCUAAACGCUUUGCUUCUUUUUGUGGUGUUUUGUGUUAUUGCUUCAUUUCGUAGGUUAUGAGGCUUUCUUUGUUUCUUGUGGUGUUGCUUCAUUUAGCAGUUUUUAAUUGGCUUUUGUGUUUCUUUUGGUAUUGCAUCAUCUUCAUAGGUUGUUUGGAUUUCUGAUUAAUUUGCUUUGGAUUUCUGGUAGCUCUGCUUCUUUAUGAUUUGUUUCUGUGUUUCUGGUGUUUUGGCUUGGUUAUGUCAUAAAAUUGAAGAAAUACCACCAGAAGCACAAAAACCAAGAAAUAUUCCCAAAAUGAGGCAAAACCAGGAGACAUGAAAACCAAGCCAAAUCAAUGGAAAAGAAACAAUCUCACCCAAAACCGCAGAACCAUUCAAAGUAAAAGAAGCAAAACAAUUAAAUGCAAAAAAACAAGCAAAACCACCCCAAAUUAAACAAAUCAGCAGAAAACAAAAAGAAGCAGUAAAGCCACCAAUUACAAAGCAAUGCCACAAGAAACUGGAAACCAGUUUUUAAAAAGCAAAACCAGAAACUCAACAAGCAUGCAAUUUAUGGGAGUCCAAAAGCACUUCAAGCAACAGAAAUUAACCAACAUAGCAUACUAGUUUUCACAUAGUCUUGGGUUUCUGGUGAAUGUGCUUCGUUUGCAGCUGGCUUCAUUUCUUUUCCAUUGGUUUAGCUUGUUUUUUGGACUUUUGCCUUAUUGCUUCUUUUGAGAAGUUUUCUUGUUUUUGCAUUCUGGUGGUAAUACUUUUUUUUUUUUAUUAAAUAUUUUAUUAAGGAUUUUCUUGUUUUACAGAAGUAAGUGUACUGCCUCGUAUAUAUAUUUUUUUCAUGUAACAUUUUUACAAAUCCAUUUCAUUUGUUGAGGCAUUAGGGGAGAAGAAAAAAAAGGAAAAAGAAAGGGGGUGGAGAGAGGGAAGAUGGAUGGGGGUGGGGUCGGGUGGCGGUGUUUCUAUUAUGUUUAAUGUAUGUAGAGUUUGGUGUCAGCGUUGCUUGUGUUGUUCACUUGUGUUCCUUUCGUGGUGAGAGAGGUUGGGGUUGGCCUAGGGUGUGAUUGUCUGCUUGUGAUUGGCUGUGGUGAUCUUUGUUUUCGUGUGUGAGUGAGGUGGGUGGGUGUUUUGGAUCAGGUUAGCCAUAUUGAUUUGUAUGCUGUUGGUGGAUUAUUGUCAUUGUCCUGUUGGGCUGUGUAUGUGAUAAAGGGAGCCAUACCAGGGUGAAGACGUCUUCUUCUGUUUGUCCCGUGUCAGUUUCAGUUUAUUAGUUAAUUUUUCUAGUAGGGCUGUUUCCCAUACUAUUUGGUACCAUUGGUCCAUGUUUACUCCUGACAGGUCUCUCCAGUGUCUGGUUAUGGUGUUUCUGGCUGCUGAAAGUAGGUGGGUUAUGAGUUCUUUGUGGUGUAAAUGGGCAUUGUUGUCUUGGAAGAUGUUUAGUAGGGCCAAUUCUGGGGUGAUGUCUAUUACUUGCUUAGUUAUUUUACAUAUUUCUUGUAUGGCUGUUGUCCAGAAUAGUUGGAUUUUGGGACACUCCCACCACAUGUGGAGGUAUGUGCCUGUGGAGGUGCACCCUCUCCAGCAUUUUGGUGAGGUUCCUGGGUGUAUUAGCGCUAGUUUCCUUGGUGUUAGGUACCACCUGUAGGUGAGUUUCAGUGUGAGUUCUUUUCUUUUCGUUGAUAUGGAUUUAAAGGGGGUUUAGACCACAUUCUGGUCCAUUGAGUGGGGUUAAUCUCAUAGCCUAUGUCAUUCUCCCAUUGUUUUUGAUUGCAUCUAGGGGAUUUGCGGGAUUUUGGAGUAGUAUUUUGUAUAUUGCGGAUACCGUCCCUUUACCGUUUCCUUUUGUUGUUAGGAGGAGGUUUUCGAAGGUUGUCAGGGGCCUAGUUGCUGCUGAUUUUACUGUUGGGUUGUUUAAGAGGGCAUGUAGUUGGUGUUGUGUUAACCAGGGCAUUUGGGUGUCUUCUAGUUUGUCUUGUAUUUCUUGUGUUGACAAGGGUUUGUUAUUUUUAUAAAAGUCUAUUAGGCGAUAUAAGCCUUUGGUUUGCCAGGUUUUUAUCUGGAGGUUUUGUGCUGCAUGGUGGAAUAAUGGGUGGUACGCCAGAGGAUUAGUGGGGAUGGGGUUGGGGAUAGUUUGCCUAUUUGUGUUUUCCAUGCUUUGAGCAUGGUCUGUGUGUACCUGUUAAGUGUUGUGGGAAUUUUCUUUAGUUUGUUUGGGAGGAAUGGGUAUGUUGUGGUGCAGGUAUUUUCAAUUGUGUCCCUCUCUAGGUGUACCCAUUGUUUUGUCUCAUCUUCUAGUAUAUAUGGGAUUAUAUGGCGUAUUUGGUUGGCAUUGUAAUAUGCUUCUAUGUUGGGGAUUCCCCAUCCUCCUUCUGAGGUGGGGAGGUGCAGGUAUUUGAGGCUUAUUCUUGGUUUUUAUGUGAGAAGAUGAAAGAGUGUAGUUUUCUCUGCCAACUGCGAAGUUGGGUUGAGGGAUCCAGAUUGGGAGGGUUUGGAAUAGGUAGGUUAGUUUUGGGAGUGUGAUCAUUUUGAUCAUGGCUAUUUUGUCUGAGAGAGUGAAAUUCAUGUUAUUCCAUCUCUUUAGGUCUUUGUUAAUUUGUCGCCACAGGGGCUUGUAGUUGUGGAGGUACAAUUUAUUGAGGUUUCUGGUUAUUUGUACCCCUAGGUAUCUGAACUUGGUGUGGCAAAGUUUUAUUUUGGUGACCUUCGUGAGUUCUUUUUGGGUGUGAGGAGGGGUGUUGAAGCACAUAGCUUCUGACUUUGUAAAAUUUACCUGUAGGCCCGACACCAUUGCAAAUGUGUUGAGUUCUCUGAUUAGGGAGGUUGCUGUGCUUAUGGGGUCUGGUGUUGUGACCAUUAGGUCAUCUGCAAAGAGCCCUAAUUUAUAGGUUCUGCCUUUUAUUUCCACUCCCUUGAUGUCUGUGGCUGCUCGGAUGCUGAUUGCUAAGGGUUCCAGAGCCAGGAUAAAUAAGAAGGGAGACAGUGGGCAUCCUUGUUUCGUGCCUCUUUGGAUAGCUAUAGUAUUAGAAUCCAUAUUGUUAGUUCUGCAUUUUGCUGAGGCUUGGGAGUAUAUUUGUUUGAGAAUUUGUAGGAAGUUGGGGCCAAAUUUCAUGUUAGUUAGUACUGCUAAUAUGUAUUUCCACUCUAAGCAAUCAAAGGCUUUGAGGAUGUCUAGGGACAUAAUUGUCAAUGGGAGUUUGGUUGCCUUGCUGUGUUCGAUCAGGUUCAGUAGUUUCCUGAUGGGGUCUGUUAUAUUGCGGCCAGGGACAAAGCCAGUCUGGUCUGGGGCUACUAACUUGUGUAGGAAGGUUUUUAGGCGGUUGGCCAAGAUUGAUGUGAAUAUCUUGUAGUCUUGGUUUAUUAAUGAGAUUGGGCGGUAUGAUUCUACUUUGAGGCUGUCUUUUAGUGGUUUUGGGAUGGAGACUAUUUUGGAGUGGGUCCAGGUUUUGGGGAUGGGGCCCCCUUUUAUGAUGUCGUUGAAUAGGCGGGUCAUGUAGGGCAUCAAGGGUUCUUUGAAUUUCCUAUAGAAUUCUGCUGUGAAGCCGUCUGGGCCUGGGGCUUUGUGUGGUUUCAGGUUUUUGAGGACCGCAUCUAUUUCCUCUGGGGUGAUAGGGCUGUCCAUGAAUUCCUGUUCCUCAUCAGUUAGGGUAGGCAUGGACAGUCCUGCUAGAAAUUUUUGAUUUCCUUCUCUGGUGGGUUAUGGGAGGUGUAUAGGUUGGAGUAGAAUUCUGCAAAUUCUGAGUUUAUUUCUUCGGGGAGAAUGUUAUGUUGCCGUCUUUUUGGUGAUGCAGUGUAUUCUUGUUUUGAGUGCUUUUUCCUGCAUCUAUUUGCUAGUAAUCUGGAGUUUUCCCUCCAUAUUCGUAGAAACGUUGUUUAGAGUAUAGAAUGUUGAUCAUUGUUUUGUUAAUUUCUAGGGAGUCUAGUUCUCUCCUUUUUUGUUCCAUAAGUUUGAGGAGUUUUUAGAUCCUGUUUGUUUGUAGCGUGAUGAGAGGGCUGUGAUGUCUUGUUCUAUUUUGCUAAUUUUUGAGGAGGUUUGUUUUUUAAGGAAUGUUUUCUCUUUUAUGCAAGCUCCUCUGGUGACCGCUUUCAUUGCGUCCCAUAGGAGGGGUUGUUAUAUUGUUUACAUCGUUUUCCUUGAAGUAGUUUUGGAGGGUUUUUGUGAGACUCUCUCUAAUUUGUUUGUUUGUAGUUAGGAUGGGACUGAAGGACCAUGAUGGGGUGGUUUGUGUUCCUUCUCCUAUUUUAACGAUGACUUCUACUGGGGCGUGAUCUGUGAUUUUAAUGUUACCUAUGUUUGUUGAUUCCACUGAGGGGAUCAGACCCUGUGUGAGUAGAAUGCUGUCCAGUCUGGAUACUGUAUCAUGGCGUCCCGAUUGGAAUGUAUGGCUGAUGUCUCCGGGUUUUGCUCACCCCAAAUGUCGUAGAGACCCCUGCUUUUUAGCAUUUUUAGUAACUUGUAAGGGUUCCUAGUUGUUGGGGGUUUCCUUCGGAGGAAGGUUGCCCAUGGGGUUGUAGGGUGGAUAUCUUUCAGGGCUAUGCCUUUCAUAUUUAGAUUGAGGUCCCCUCCUAGGAUUGCUUCCCCUUCAGAGAAGGAGAGGAAUUUGUUUAGUGUCUUCUGGAAGAAUUCUAAUUGUUUCGUGUUUGGGGCAUAUAUGGAGCCAAUUGUCAGUUUGAUUUUGCCAUCUAGUGUCCCUUUAGCGAAAAUGAAUCUGCCUUUUUGUCCUUGAGGACUGUUGUGGCAGUGAAGUUCAGGUCUCUACUGAGUAUUAUGGCUACACCACGAGCUUUCCCUGAGCCUCGUGCGACCCACUGUUGACUGAAGCGGGGGUCGCUCAGGAGUUUGCUGCCUUUGGGUGGGUUGUGUAUUUCUUGUAGGAAGGUGAUGUGUGGUUUCAUGGUGUUUAUGUAUGAGGUGAUGCGUUUUCUUUUGAUGGGGUUUCCCAGCCCCCUCACGUUUAAUGUAAUUGCUUUUAGGUUAGCCAUCUUGCUUAUCUAUUAUGUGGGGCGAUUCCCUGCCAACCCGUUUGGGUUGUCUUGUAUCUCUCUCUUCGUGUUGUUUAAAGUACCAGUGGGGUUGCGCUGACCUAGGGUGUGGCGGGUGGGGGCUAAUGGGAUUAGAGUAAGAUUUGGGUUAAAGAGUAGGGGUUAAGUUGUAGAGAGUUUCCUAUAUGUAGUCAUAUAGGUGUUUGUUUGGGGUAUUUUAGGCCAUCUGGCAUUUAGCCGGUUGGUCCUAGGUCUCAGCUGGUGUGGAAGGCCGUGUUCAAGGACAGGCCAUCCCCCCUGUUGUUUGCGAUAGGGGGUGAUCAGUGAGACAGUGUGAAGUGACUUUGUAACGUCGCUGUCAGGUAUAAGGUUCGUAAGCAAUGUUGCCAAUGUUAUGAGCAACAUUGUUGGUGUGUUGGGGUGGGGAUGUGGGUGCUGGUACGCUCUGGUGCCACCAUAGUGCUGGUUGGGUAUCAGAUUUUAGCCUGACUGUGGGUUGUGUUAUUAAGGUUGGAGUUGUUUUUUCUUAGUAUGGGGUAUGGGGAUGUUGAAGGUGUGGGUGAUGUGGAAUGUGGUUGAGGUCGUCUGGACUGGUGUUGGGGCGGGGAUUUCUGUGGGGGUGCGGGGCUGGGGGAGGAUGUUGAUGGUGUUAACGAAAUCUAUGUUUUUGGGGGGAGAGGGGGAAAAGGGGGGAAUCACCAGUCCUUCAGUUUGUGGUUUUUCCUGGUUGCUUCAUUCAGCUGGGGUUGUUGUUGUUGUAGGGUUGUCCAUCUGCGAUGAGUUGGUUUGGUUAAUCUUGGUCUGGUUUCUUGUGUCAUAUGGCCGGCGGGACGAUUCUGAGCGUGAUGCUUCUCUGUAUUGGUUUGCACUGUUGUGCCGCUUCUGUUUCUUUUUCUUCUGUACCGUCGUCCAGUUGUUUGCUGUUGUUUCCUCAUGGUUGGGGCUGUCACUUGGUGGGUUUGUCGGUUGCCAUUCCGGUGGGAGGUCGAGUUCAAGGUUCUUUAGUAGUUGCAGGGCCUCAGGUAUGUUGGUAGCCAUGUGUUGUGUUGUAUUGGUUGUUACAAUGAGGCGGAAGGGGAAGCCCCAUCGGUAUUUGAUCCCUGCUUGUUGGAGACGCUGGGUGCAUGGGCGCAAGCUUUUCCUUCGGUUUAGGGUAUCCUGAGAUAAGUCCUGUAAGGCCAGUAUGGGGAUUUCUCCAUAUCGAAGGUUGGUUGAGUUUCUGAGGUGGUACCAUACCUCUUCCUUCUUUUUGUAGCGUGUGAAGCAUACAAUGAUGUCUCUUGGGGGGGCGCUGGGUUUUGGCAUAGGUUUUAGGGCUCUGUGAGCCCUCUCCAAGUCAUCUGCCUCAAGUUUCAGGCUUGGGAUUGUGUUUUUCAGCCAGCGUAUAAUUAGGUCUGCUGGGCUUUUCUCCUCUGUUUUUUCAGGAAAGUUGCGGAAGCGGAUGUUACAACGUCUAUUGCGGUCUUCAAGGUCGGCUUGCUUAAUUUUCAUCUCUCUGUGUUCUGCUUCAAUUUGGUUUACCAGUUCGUCCAGUUUCUUGUUCACACGUGCGUUCUCCUCCCGGUAUUGCUCUAUUAUUCUUUCUUGCAUUUGGUUCUUGUUCUCUAGAGCUUCCACUUUGGAGGUUAGGUUGUUGAUUAGUACCUGCAUGGGAGCCAUUGUGGCCUUCAGUGUUUCUUCUAAUCGUGCUUCUAAUCUUGCUUCCAUUUCCCUCAAAUCUCGUUUCGUUAUUGGGUGGUCAUCAUCUUGAAGGGAGUUACCGUCUUAGCAUUGUUUGUCAUCUCCUGGUUGGUGUCAUCUCAGUCUCCCUGAUGGUUUUGGUUUGAGGUUGGCUUGGCGUCCUCUUGGAGUAGGGCGUGUGGUGGUUAGGAGUUGUGGCAGUGGUGAUUCCUGGGUAUUGUUGGGUUGCUGAGCUGAUCAGGCGUUCUUUCUUGGUGGCUUAAACAGAGCGUUUGAAUUAGGUGGUCAUUUGUGUCACUUCUAGCCUGUGUUUUGAGAACUUCUCUAGGGUUUCUGUAGUUGCCUCAGCGGUGCCGCCAAAGCGGGGGGGGGGGGGCAGGUAAGCAGAGAUGGGUAGACUAACGGGCAGACAGUUCAUAUAAAGGGGGGGGUUAGCAGGUAGAGAUGCAAAAGAUUAGAGGGGUGGGGCCAGGGGAAAUAUGUGUUUAGGAGGGGGUUGUAUAUACCCAAAAGGGGUACUGGGGUCCAGCUAAGGUGGGAGUUGGGGUUGGGAGUGCGCUCAGAAACAGAGACAGACAAAUAGGCUCUAUGUAAAGGGUGGAGGGAGAAAAGGGAAGAAGAAGAAAGAAAGAAGAAGGGGGGGAGGUGGGGGAGAGGGGAGAUUGGAGUAAAAGAGAAGAGAGAGAGAGAGGGACAAAAAGAGAGUUGAAAUAGAGAGGAGAGAUAGUACAGUAAUAUCAGCGGUAUUAGAUUGCAGCAGUAGUUUUAGCUAUAGUAUGAGGGGGGCAAAGUAUGAUAUGGUCUGGUGGUAAUACUUUUGAAUGCUUUGGGGGUUUCUGGUGAAUCUGCUUUGUUUGGGAUUGGUUGGCUUCUUUGUCAGUUUCCAUUGAUGUUGCUUUUACAUGGUUCUUCUGCUUCUUUUCAGUAGGUUUUUGUGUUUUUAGUGGUUGACUUCAUUGUUGGAAUGGUCAUUAGACAUUUCUGGUGGUUUUGCUUCAUUUCUGGUGGUUUUCCUUUUUUUCUUGGGAUUAUCAGAUCUCAUACAAAUUAAUAUUCUCAAAGGUGCAAAACCCAAAAAACCUAGAAAUGAAGCAAACUCACCAUAAAUCCAGCACCCAAUCUGUUAUGUACUAACCUUGGACCCUAGAAUGCAACAACUGAUUGGUCUUUUCCUGCAGGCCAAUCAGGCUCCAAGAGGGAAGCAGAGUUAGCCAGUCAGACGGGACUCAUUGUGUAAAUAAUGUAUAUAAAAGCCUGAGGUUGGGUGGGGCAAUAAAGAGCAUGAAAUACAUACAAGACUCUGAGUAUAUUUCACAAUCGUAAUUUAUAUAAAAGAAUCUAUGAAACGAAAACCACAGAAAAAAUUCAACAUAAUCCCCAAAACAAACCAGAAACAACAGAAACAAACCACAUCCACCAAAGAUGAGAAAACCAAUUGAAUAGAACCACAAGAAACCCACGCAGUAAACAUCUCAGGGAAAGGCGAAAUCACCCCCACACCAUGCAAAACUAAGGUUUAACUGGCUUUGGGGUUUCUGCGCAAUUUACCUUUUCCCUCUUGUUGGGGGUUUCUGGUGGUAUUUCUUCUGCUUCUCACAUUUCUGCUUCUUUUCAAUUGGUUUUGGGAUUCUGGUGAAUUUGGAUAUGAUUUGAUUGAAGUCUCUGUCUGGCAAUUUUCCUUUUUCAUGAAUUCCUUCCUUGUUGGGUUUCUGGUAUCUCACUUUUGGUUUUCACAUUUCUCUUAGUUUUGCUACGUUUCAGGUAGUUUGCUUAUUUUUGGAAUUAUCCAGUCUCAUAAAAAUGAAGCAAUAUCAUUAGAAGCUUAAAAAGCAUGAAAAAAACCCCAGGCACUAACCCUAACCCUGAACAUCCACCUAUCCCCUGCCCUAACCCUGAUAUUCUGGUCAUCCAUCUUGGGGAUAACAAUCUGGUGAGGUAAAUUCAGUUGAGAUCACUAAAUAUCUCCAUCAGCUGUGCUUCCUCAUCCCUGAGCUUAUCAUAGUUUGGUUUGGAAUGUUGUAGAGGUGCUUAUGGAGUGGGGGCAGCCUUCCUAAGAAGGUGGAUGGGCAAGACAUAAAGCUAAUCAUUCUACAACGACGUUUGUGUUUGAAAAUGUGGCUGCUUAUAUCCCUCAUGGCAGAAUUAUGUUCUGUGCCCCACAGUUGUAUAGACCUGGUGGUAUGCAUCUUUCUGAUUUGGGUUGUGACAUGAUUCUUAAGGAUCUGCAAAGAGCUCUGUUUGAGCACUUGUGUGUUUGUGGGUGGAGGUGAACAAGCACACCUGCCCAGACUUAAUUUGAUUUGGUUACAUUGGUCGAAUCUGACUAGUUUUGCCGAUCCUCAAGUUGUUAUAUUUAAUAAAUACAACCUAUUUAUCCACUUUUGGUUGUCUUGACUCUUCCUCCUGAUGUGCUAGGAACCACUCUGUUUGGGGGGCACUGCAAAACAUGCGGUUUUUACUGCAAACAUUUUGCCAGACUUUGGCCUUGAUUUGGAGUGAAUCAGACGAUGUUGGGUUUUGGGGUGACCUUAUGACCCCUGUCAGUUACUUGGUUUGUCGGGCAAAAUGCUACAAAAAUGCUACAAUGUCUGGCAAAAUGCUACAAAACUUUUGCCAGACUUUGGCACCAGUUUGGAGUGAAUCGGACAAUGUUGGGUUUUGGAUAUUAAUUAUGAACCCCGGUUUGAUGUAUCAAUUACUGUGUUUAUGGGGUGUUACAAAAUGUGGGGGUUUUGCUGCAAAACUUUUGCCAAACAUCAGUUUUGAUGGGAUCCCAGAUUUGGGGGUUUGUAGUUAAAUGAAGCAUUCUUUCAGUGCUUCUCGGGAAAUGUGCAGUUUCUGUCAGAUCAAACUAAUACUACUGGAUAAAAUUAUAUGGUUGUUGAUUAUCAGACAGUUCUCCCAUUUAUCAAGGAAAACGUCUGUUAUGGGUGGCUUUUGCUUGGUGUGUGUGACUGUUGACAGACAGAUUUGAAAAGGAACACAGCUUCCUCUGUAUGUCUCACAGUAACUUACUGGCCUUUUUGAUUAUGCAGUCGGCUCACCCAACACUUCCAGCUGGAUUCCGAGGACAGGAAAUGAUUCUGCUAAAGGCUUUCUGUGAAUAUACCGGUAAUUCCAGUUGAUUUGUUUUAAUGGUCACAUAAAGGCACUUUCUUUGGUUAUAAAAUGAUGUUGUGAGUCUUAUAUCUGAGCAGUCAAUAAACUCCCUCCCCCACAGAAACGCUUGUCUUACUUCUUCUUCUUGGCAUCCAUACUUACAUGUUUGUUUAAAGAAAGACUAACCCCACCCCGAACCCCAC